AAAGAGACCCAGAUUAUUUCUUCCCCCUCUCUCUGCUGUUCUUCCCCCUUCCCCCCCUCUCUGCUAAGGUUUCCUUUCCCGUUACUCCAUUGAUUUGAUCGAUAGCAGCUUCUUCACCUGAGAUCACGCCCCUCAGUCCCAAGAGGCCACCAUCAUGUGCAGAAGGUUCGCAUCUUCACACCUCAAAACCCUAGCCGCCGGCGCUGCGUCACCCGCCUCCCGCCGAUCCGCCUAAUCCAGCUCUCGGCUCGUCGAUGAUCGGAACGGAGGAUCGGAACAGUGAGGUUGACGGAAAUUGGAAGGACGAAAUGAUGGGGCACGUAGUGGCGGGAGAGGAUCGGUGAGGGUUGAAGAAGCGGUAUAUUCGGUCUUUCGCCUCUCCUUCUUGUUGACAAAAGGCAUGUGGAAGGGUGUGCUUGGAAGGGCAGGAUUAGCAAGAGAUGUUCUUAUCUGGGAUUCAUAAUCUGCCUGGAUUGUUUUACCGAAACGCAGAUCUUUGAAUGCUAUUAUUAUAAAGCUACUGUGGACUCACUACCUUUUACUAUGUCUGUCCGAAAAGAAAUAUAAAGGUGUUACAAAAUGCGACUAAAUCUAUUGUUGAUGUUGGGAGAUAGAUCAUUGGAACUGUUAAUCUCAAGAUCUCACCUAUAUGCAGCAAGAAUGAGUUUUACUAAUUAGUUGAGCAAGAUCCCAUUUGUGGAGAUGGCCUAGCAAGAUUACAUUUGUGGAUAAUGAUUGGAUAUAUGGUUUAAUUUGUUAUGACUUUGAAAUGUGCUAGUCAAAUUCAGGGUUGUAUGUUCAAGCUUAAGGUCAUUAACAUUGAAUACCAGGUAUCAACAAUUUUUGCAUGGUUA